AUAAAGUUUUAUUCUAGCUUGAAUAAUUAGGGUUAGCUUUAUUUCACAUGUAAAUUUUAAUUAGAAGUUAAAUUAAACUUAAAAAGUUAUUUUAUUAAAAUUAAUUCGCAGUGGAGAGAUUUAUUUAUCAGUGAGAGCUGGAUUUAGGAUAAGCUUAAAAUAUUAACAAAACUUGUGCCAGCAGUUGCGGUUAUACAAGUAAUAUAACUUAAUUUUUUCGGUUUUAGUUAAUUUAUUAAUUUUAUUUUUAAAUUUUUGUUUAUUAGGUGAAAUUUUAAUUGAAUUUUAAAGGUUAUUUUUGUUGAUGAGGCUAAGAAAUUUUUUGUUUAGACUAGGAUUAGAUACCCUAUUAUUUUAAAUGUGAAAUUUUAUUCUGGAAUAUUAUUAGUUAUGUUCUUUAAAAUUAAAGAUUUUGGCGGUAUUUUAGUCCAUUCAGAGGAAUCUGUCCUAUAAUCGAUAGUCCACGAUUUGUUUUACUUUAUUUAUUAGUUUGUAUAUCGUCGUAGUUUGAAUAUUUUAUUAGAAUUUUAAUAUUCAUGAUUUUAUUUAAAAACAAAAUCAGAUCAAGGUGUAGCUUAUAAUAAAGGAGAGAUGGAUUACUAUAAAUUUAUUUUAAGAUAGAUUAUUUAAAUAUAAUUUUGAAUUCGGAUUUGAGAGUAAUUUUAAGAAGUUUCUUAAUGUGAUUAAGGCUCUAGAAUAUGCACAUAUCGCCCGUCGCUUUCAUCCCAAGGUGGAAUAAGUCGUAACAAAGUAGGCUUACUGGAAAGUGGGCCUGGAAAGAU
rnacentral:ncRNA from 1 species